rnacentral:sRNA from 1 species
AUUGCGCCCCGACUUGAACGGAACUCCUUUUUUUUGCAUUUGAAAAAAAAGAGUGGGAGUGGAAGGCGGAAAUGUGC